rnacentral:lncRNA from 1 species
GAAUAGGUUCGAUCCAACGGUUGAUACGGAGUUUCCAUGUGUAGUUUGAAUAGGUCCAAUCCAACGGUUGAUACGGAGUGUCCAAGUGAAUUGAUAUAUAUCCAAGAAUAAUGCUUUUUAUUCACAACGGUUUUUGUUGAUGGUGCCUACUUUUCAGGUUGCUGUUGCCAAUGGUGCCAAUAGUUCUAUAUACAUAUAUAUAAACCAAAAAAUAUA